AUUGAACGCUGGCGGCAGGCCUAACACAUGCAAGUCGAGCGGAUGAGUGGAGCUUGCUCCAUGAUUCAGCGGCGGACGGGUGAGUAAUGCCUAGGAAUCUGCCUGGUAGUGGGGGACAACGUUUCGAAAGGAACGCUAAUACCGCAUACGUCCUACGGGAGAAAGUGGGGGAUCUUCGGACCUCACGCUAUCAGAUGAGCCUAGGUCGGAUUAGCUAGUUGGUGAGGUAAAGGCUCACCAAGGCGACGAUCCGUAACUGGUCUGAGAGGAUGAUCAGUCACACUGGAACUGAGACACGGUCCAG
rnacentral:rRNA from 1 species